ensembl:lncRNA
GCGGGAAAAAGGGGGGAAAAAAACUCCAGAACGAGAAGAAACUGGACUUCUCUCCAAACUCAGACUCGCACUAUGUGGCCGCCUUUGAUUUUGUUUUCAGACAUGAUUUUUCAUCAGUUCUGAUCAUUCAUCUACUGAACCUGAAACAGCCAGAUCAUCAGGACGGGAUUUUAAAAGUCCGUACAGUCUGGAGGUGUGACAUGGGUUAACGUCUGAGGCCUGGAGGAAUGUGUCCGGGUCAGCGCUGAGAAUUCCUCAGUCCUUCGAGACUAGGUCACUGCACUGGCAAGAGUCUGCCACCUAUUUUAGCAUGCGCACUGCUAACUCUCCCUCCCCUCUUUAUCUCUUCCAAGUCUGCCCUUCUCUAUCCUUUCAUUUCAUCCUUUCAUCUUUUGUUCUACCUUCUUGCUCUCUCUGCUGUCUUUUAGUUAAUCUGUCUGCUUGUCUUUCAGUCACACCAUCUAUUUUGUUGUCCUACUUUGCCUACUGAUUUUCUCGCUCUUUGUUCUGCCUUUUAUUUGUCCCCAUGCACUCGUGCUCGUAUUUCUUCAGUUAUUCAUGCCUGUAGGUAUUUACACUCCAGCCGUCAUUAUACUGUCACUGUCUGGUUUAUCCAUUCUCAAACCACUCGCCCUCCUUUUGUUUUUCUCACUUUGUCCUUUCUUUCUUGUUUUUUUUUCUUUCCUGUGGCACAUUGAGUUCAGUGCUGCAGGUGCUUUCAACAGGGCAUAUGAAGCACAGAAGCACAGGCUCAACUGGCUUGCUUAUUAAUGCAGUGCAGUAACAUGCAUGUGGUGCCUGGUGCUGGUCAUGUAUGAUUUAUAUGGUGUUCUUGCACACAGGCUGAGGGCUUUCAUACCAGCUAUCAGUAUUCCUGAGUGAAGGAGUUUGCAGGCUCACCUCUUCAUUGGCUUGGCUAACAGCAGGGGUGACAGACAAACCCCCUGGUACUGAAGUGUUCCCACUGAUGGCAGAUGUGGUGAUUUGACAGUCUGAUCCUCACACGCUGGCUGGCUGGAAGCACGCACUUCAGACGUGCAGUUUUUAGACAUCAUGCAGAGUGCAAGGCACAUCUUCUAGACUAGGAAUGAUAAUGAGAUUGGGGGUGAUUUAAAUUUGAGAAAGAAUUGAUGUUUUUUUUGUUGUUGUUUUUUUUAAAGCAGGUGUUUGAUUUGAUAGGAAAAUACUUUCCCUAUAUAAACUGUUAGCAACAGCUCAUAGUUGAUAACGACUGAUGAGUAAUUGAUCAUUUUUAAGUAAAAUAAGGAUAUCUGCCUAAAAUAGUUGGCAAUCAAUACAAGAAUUUCAUUUAUUGCACAACUUUUUAGCUCCUUGUCAAAGUGUUUCAAUAUUUUGCAAACAAGAUUUGCUGUCUAUGUUUAGCAUCCAUUUUGUGCCAGUCAAUAUGUUGGUGGGUCGCUAAGAAAUAUCUGCAGUUCAUUUUAGUUUAGACAUUUAGUUUUCUCCUAUUUUGAUUUGUAUGACUUGAAUACAACAAAUACAAUAUAUAAGCAAUUUCAAGCAUCUUGGGCUUUAACAAUGUUCCAUUUUAGUAUUUCAACCAUUUAUAGAUAGAAUGGGAAGUAAACCAGUUUGUGAAAUAAAAAAUUA